GGUGGCGAUCAUACCAGCACUAAUGCACCGGAUCCCAUCAGAACUCCGCAGUUAAGCGUGCUUGGGCGAGAGUAGUACUAGGAUGGGUGACCCCUGGGAAGUCCUCGUGUUGCAACCC
rnacentral:rRNA from 1 species